UACGAAGGGUGCAAGCGUUGUCCGGAAUUAUUGGGCGUAAAGGGCGCGUAGGCGGCCAUGCGUGUCUUCCGUGAAAUCCCUCGGCUUAACUGAGGACGUGCGGAAGAAACUGCAAGGCUCGAGUCCGGGAGAGGGGGGUGGAAUUCCCAGUGUAGCGGUGAAACGCGUAGAUAUUGGGAGGAACACCGGUGGCGAAGGCGGCCCCCUGGACCGUUACUGACGCUGAGGCGCGAAAGCGUGGGUAGCAAACGGG
rnacentral:rRNA from 1 species